rnacentral:tRNA from 1 species
AAGGUUUUAAGUUAAAUUUAAACUAAUAUCCUUCAAAGCUAUAAAUAAAGAUUAAAAUUCUUUAAGCCUUA